UUGAUAUCAGGUGUUAAUGGACCAAAGUUCCAUAUAUAAGAAGCAUGCUUAAAUGUUAAGAUAAUCACACAAAUACUAGAAUGGAGCAACUGCAAACGAAGCCAACAAAGAAAAAUUCAAAUAAAUUUAAGAGCAAAGGAUAACAUUGUUUAUAUAUUCCACAAAACAGUGCAUAAACACAUUCUUCUCACAUAUGAUAACUUUAUACACAUGCUAUGCCAUUUAUAUACACGUAUGUGUGAGAUGUCAGUAGUGGGUAUAUAUUAAAAAAUUAUCUGAACCUCACCAGUUUUACCAGUUUACAAUGUAAAAGCAAGUACCUCUCUGUUACAACCUGACACAUUGAAACCCUUCCUAAGGAGCCAAGUUUUAGCGCUAAAUUUAUUUCUAUCAAACAACUUGGCAACAAAUGAUUUACACAACUGCAGAACAUUCUAUCUAAUGCCGUGGCUGAACAAUAUAGUUUACUUAAUAAAGAGAAAGCACCACUGAAGACAAUGAAGCUCUUUUAAAACAAGCAGCAGACGAGAUAUGAGGCCAUUUUUAAAAUUAAAG
rnacentral:misc_RNA from 1 species